rnacentral:ncRNA from 2 species
AUAGCGACCAAGUUUUGAGGUGUCCUUGGCCUGUUCAUGGCGCAAGGGUGAAACUGGGAAACAGGUGCGUGAGAUCCAAUGCGAUCCACAAUGCCUGUGCUGCCCCCGCAACGGUAAGCAAGCCGAUAUGCCAACAUGCCACUGUGAAAGACCUUCAUGGGAAGGCGGCAUAUUCUUAAAUCUUGCAAGCCCGGAGACCGGCCUGAAAACGAUCAAGGAA